rnacentral:rRNA from 1 species
AUUGAACGCUGGCGGCAGGCCUAACACAUGCAAGUCGAGCGGAUGAAGGGAGCUUGCUCCUGGAUUCAGCGGCGGACGGGUGAGUAAUGCCUAGGAAUCUGCCUGGUUGUGGGGGAUAACGUCCGGAAACGGGCGCUAAUACCGCAUACGUCCUGAGGGAGAAAGUGGGGGAUCUUCGGACCUCACGCUAUCAGAUGAGCCUAGGUCGGAUUAGCUAGUUGGUGGGGUAAAGGCCUACCAAGCCGACGAUCCGUAACUGGUCUGAAAGGAUGAUCAGUCGCCAUGGAAGGGAGACACGGUCCGGACUCCUAAGGGAGACAGCAGUGGGGAAUAUUGGACACUGGGGGAAAGCCUGAUCCAGCCAUGCAGCUUGUGUGAGGAAGGUCUUCGGAUCGGAAAGCACUUUAAGUUGGGAGGAAGGGCAGUAAGUUAAUACCUUGCUGUUUUGACGUUACCAACAGAAUAAGCACCGGCUAACUUCGUG